CAGUCGCCGCGGUAAUACGUAGGUGGCAAGCGUUGUCCGGAAUUAUUGGGCGUAAAGGGCUCGCAGGCGGUUUCUUAAGUCUGAUGUGAAAGCCCCCGGCUCAACCGGGGAGGGUCAUUGGAAACUGGGAAACUUGAGUGCAGAAGAGGAGAGUGGAAUUCCGCGUGUAGCGGUGAAAUGCGUAGAGAUGUGGAGGAACACCAGUGGCGAAGGCGACUCUCUGGUCUGUAACUGACGCUGAGGAGCGAAAGCGUGGGGAGCGAACAGGAUUAGAUACCCGCGUAGUCCCUGUCUCUUAUAC
rnacentral:rRNA from 1 species